UCGUGCAACGGAGGCGUAAGGGCUGUCGCUGACCUUCAAAGGUCGUGCACGCUCGAGCGCUCUCUCACAUCCAUCUCACCCACCCCCCUUUGUGCAUCACCGCGUGGGCCCCUCUCCGCAAAGAGAGGGUCUGCGUUUUCACAUAAAAACUCUAAUGUCGUGUAUAGAAUGUCUUUUUCGUGGUCACACGCGAUCAAUA
rnacentral:misc_RNA from 1 species